GAACUAUAUUAGAAGUAGGCCCUCGCCCGGUGCCCUGCGGGGUUAACGGCGGUGUUAAGCCUUAAAGUAGCGUGAUAAGUUGGCCUUUAAUUGGGGUCUGGUAUGAAGGGGUUGACGUCGGAGAAACUGUCUCGGAAAGAUAAAAUGAAAUUUACGUCCUAGUGAAAAGGCUGGGAUGGCUGUAAAAGACGAGAAGACCCUGUCGAGCUUGAGGGAUAUGAAUGUUUUAACAACAUGAUUAGGAGUUUGGCUGGGGCAGCAAUGGAGGUAGCCUCCAUUUUUAAAGCAAAGAUCCAUUAGAAAGAGAUAAUGAUAAAAGGAAAAAGUUACCGCAGGGAUAACAGCACAAGACCGCCUCAGAGGUCGUAUCGAAGGCGGUGAGUGUGACCUCGAUGUUGGAUUAGGGUGAACCCUUUCGUGCAGGAGCGAAAGUUGGUGGGACUGUUCUUCCU
rnacentral:rRNA from 1 species